CGGGGUAGAGUAACGCGUGAGGAACCUGCCUCAAAGAGGGGGACAACAGUUGGAAACGACUGCUAAUACCGCAUAAGCCCACGGCUCGGCAUCGAGCAGAGGGAAAAGGAGCAAUCCGCUUUGAGAUGGCCUCGCGUCCGAUUAGCUAGUUGGUGAGGUAACGGCCCACCAAGGCGACGAUCGGUAGCCGGACUGAGAGGUUGAACGACCACAUUGGGACUGAGACACGGCCCAG
rnacentral:rRNA from 1 species